rnacentral:lncRNA from 1 species
AGUCCUGCCCGUCGGCAAAACUUGGGAGUGUGGCAGAGGCUCGGCCGCCCGGGAGGUUUGAAGAGAUGUUGCCGGAGGUCGAAAGUCAGUUGGAUCCCUGGAGGGUCACUCCCGUCACGAACUUCGACUGGGGGAUAUUUUAUACCCAACACUAGUCCCCCUACUUUCGAGUUCGAAUUUCGAAUGAAGGAAGUACAGAGAAAUUUUCGCAGUCGAAGUUAUCCCCUUGAAUCCUGUGCAUGAUCGCCUCCAGAUAUUUUGGCAUUAAAUGCGCGCGUGCCGGAGUC